rnacentral:rRNA from 1 species
UGGGGAAUUUUGCACAAUGGGAGCAACCCUGAUGCAGCGACGCCGCGUGAUUUAGAAGGCCUUCGGGUUGUAAAAAUCUUUUGUAUGGGAAGAAAAUGACAGUACCAUACGAAUAAGGACCGGCUAAUUACGUGCCAGCAGCCGCGGUAAUACGUAAGGUCCGAGCGUUGUCCGGGAUCAUUGGGCGUAAAGGGUACGUAGGCGGAUAAGCAAGUUAGAAGUGAAAUCCUAUAGCUCAACUAUAGUAAGCUUUUAAAACUGCUCAUCUUGAGGUAUGGAAGGGAAAGUGGAAUUCCUAGUGUAGCGGUGAAAUGCGCAGAUAUUAGGAGGAAUACCGGUGGCGAAGGCGACUUUCUGGCCAUAAACUGACGCUGAGGUACGAAAGCGUGGGUAGCAAACAGG